GACGAACGCUGGCGGUGUGCUUAACACAUGCAAGUCGAACGGAAAGGCCCUGCUUUUGUGGGGUGCUCGAGUGGCGAACGGGUGAGUAACACGUGAGUAACCUGCCCUUGACUUUGGGAUAACUUCAGGAAACUGGGGCUAAUACCGGAUAGGAGCUCCUGCUGCAUGGUGGGGGUUGGAAAGUUUCGGCGGUUGGGGAUGGACUCGCGGCUUAUCAGCUUGUUGGUGGGGUAGUGGCUUACCAAGGCUUUGACGGGUAGCCGGCCUGAGAGGGUGACCGGCCACAUUGGGACUGAGAUACGGCCCAGACUCCUACGGGAGGCAGCAGUGGGGAAUAUUGCACAAUGGGCGGAAGCCUGAUGCAGCAACGCCGCGUGCGGGAUGACGGCCUUCGGGUUGUAAACCGCUUUCGCCUGUGACGAAGCGUGAGUGACGGUAAUGGGUAAAGAAGCACCGGCUAACUACGUG
rnacentral:rRNA from 1 species